ensembl:snRNA U6 U6 spliceosomal RNA
AUACUUGUGUCAGCGGCAUAUAUAUUAAAAUUGGAGAGAUUCAGAGAAGAUUAGCAUGGUGCCUGCCCAAGAAUGACAUAUAAACCACAAUUCAUGGAAUCCCUGUGU